rnacentral:rRNA from 1 species
UACGUAGGGUGCAAGCGUUAUCCGGAAUUAUUGGGCGUAAAGAGCUCGUAGGCGGUUUGUCGCGUCUGCUGUGAAAACUGGAGGCUCAACCUCCAGCCUGCAGUGGGUACGGGCAGACUAGAGUGCGGGUAGGGGAGAUUGGAAUUCCUGGUGUAGCGGUGGAAUGCGCAGAUAUCAGGAGGAACACCGAUGGCGAAGGCAGAUCUCUGGGCCGUAACUGGACGCUGAGGAGCGAAAGCAUGGGGAGCGAACAGG